AAAACAAUGCAAUCCUAUUCAAGAGUUCAUAUCGACAAUUAGGGUUUAUGACCUUGAUGUUGGAUCAGGACAUCCCUAUGGUGCAGCAGCUAUUAAAGGUUUGUUUGUUCAGCGAUUAAAGUCCUACCAGAUCUGAGUUCAGAGUGGAGUAAUCCAGGUC
rnacentral:ncRNA from 1 species